GCCUUUGUACAUUUUCAGGAAACACUAGAAAAUAACUAAAAGCAUGUGAUUUGGAAUGACUCAGACCCAGGCCCAAGGCCUGGAGGCUCAUUUCCUAGGCGGAGUUUCCCUGCAGAAGCUUUCUCUUGCCUGCCGCCGUGUGAGAUGUGCUUUUGCUCUUUCUUCAUCUUCCACCAUGAUUGUGAGGCCUCCCCAGCCAUAUGGAACUGUGCCUCACUCUAGUCCUGAUCCUGUUACCACCAAAGUAUCCCCACUGAGGAACUUCUAGUGAAUAUAUUUCAAGGAGAAGGGAACUAACCCCAGGAAGAAGACUGAAAGCUUCAUGAGGGUAAACUGAGACUCUUCGCUAUUGAAAUUCUAUUGCCAGGCGCAUACCCCAGCCCAC